rnacentral:tRNA from 1 species
UGGGCUAUCGCCAAGCGGUAAGGCAAAGGACUUUGACUCCUUCAUUCGUUGGUCCGAAUCCAACUAGCCCAG